rfam:Hordeum vulgare subsp. vulgare, WGS project CAJW01000000 data, contig: morex_contig_6904
UACAUACUCCCUCCGUCCAGAAUUACUUGUCCGAGGAAUGGAUGUAUCUAGAUGUGUUUUAGUUUUAGAUACAUCCAUUUUUAUCCAUUUCUCCGCCAAGUAUUUCUGGAUGGAGGAAGUAUGAC